UUGUUUCUCGGGAGGAACUGAAAAGAACAAAAAAAGACACAUUCAUCGAUAAAGCGUCCUCAAGCGAAGUGUUGUCUACUGGCAAUUCAAACAAACAGCUACUACUGGCAAUUAUUUAAAAGGCGAUCAACCGAUCAUUACCAGUAGCUAAGGCGGCUAAGAGUGCUUGCCUGUACGCGGUAUGAACGAAUUGCUGAUUAUAAGGAGCAGCGAGGCGCGGCUACUAUGAUUGAAUUUUUAUAGAAACAUACCAGUACAGUACCCCAUGAGGCACCCUCCCCAUGAAGGCAUGAGGAUGAGGGACACCCUGUUUCGGUGUUUCCCUACGGGGUAAUGCAGCAAUCCAAGAAUAACACUCCAACACGCUCCAGUAGUCAAUUGCUGAUUAGCAAUCGCACAGGCGUCGUUAAACAACGUUAACGUAAUUUACGUUACAACGCAUUGAAGCAGUCUGCCCGCGGCCUAUCUCGCGCGUGUUAUUGUGAUGUUAGAAAAGGUUGAAAUUGAAUCCUAAAAAGGAAACAACAUGCAGCGGCAGGAAUGAUGAUGAAAUACUCUACCCAACCGCGAAUGUAAUGCAAGUCUCUCUUAUCAAUUCGCAAUGUAUGCAGUUGCAAAAAAAUACGAUUGUCAAAGAAUCACACCUCGGUCGCUUGUGAGUGGUGUAAGUGAUCUGAUUAGGUUGGAGCAUUGCAUCGCUCUUGUUGAUCGAUUACGGACGAUCAAUUACAACGCAUAAUGGUUUUUUUGGGCAGUAGUUUGAAGAAGGUUCAAUCUCAUCGGUCCCACUUAGCGCCGUUGCUAAACGACACUAAUUAGCCGAUAAACACACCAGUCGGUCUCGUGCCCGGGUCCCACUCGUGUUGGAGGCUCGCCAGCCAGCCGUCUCGAUAAUUGGUGGUUUGAGAAAACGUGCCCCAUGCCCCAUCAACCUCCCAUUAGUCUACCUCCGCUCGCACGGGGAUAGCAAAGAUAGGUCAAUAUCUUACUCUACUCAAUCGAACCCCAGCGUGGAGCUCUGUCUUACUUCACACUUGACUGCGCUAAAACACACGCUCUGUCGUAGAACGUGAGCGGCACGUUUCGCUACUGUUACGCCCCGACCAACGUGUAUUCUGGGCAUUGGUCCAGAGAUGGGAAAAACUCUCCCUCAAAGCUUUAAGCUUCAUGUGCAAGCGAAGAAAAACGUGCAGAAGAACCACGUCCCACGAACGAGCAUAAUGAAGCGCCCCCAUGCCAGGCCCGGCGAAUCGGUGCGUGCUGUGGCGAAAAUGAUUAUCAACGCAUCACUCUCCGGUCACCCGUUUGCUGCAUGAUUCGGAGGGGAGCCCCGGGACGGAUAAGACGGACGCUUCCCGCACUCCCGGGUCCAACGUUCAGCGCCGCCGAACGCGCGGGACGUGUGUGGCUGAGUGAAGAAGAUUCUUUGCCAUUUAUCAGUAGCAGCCUGGACAAGCUGGACAAUGUCCUCUGGAGUCAAUUUGACCUCCUUUCCCCUGGUGGUGUUGGAUGUGUACGGUUUAUAUGAGCCCCGGGCAAUAAAACAUUACGACAGCUGACUGUGUGUGGACCUGGAGUUUCGCGUCAUAAAAUGGGAAUAGAUAAUGCUUGCUCCGGGGUAAUUCAGACAUGACCUUCCGUUAUUGUCACGGUGCAAUGAGUGGACCUCGAACGAACAAAAAACCAUGAGAUUACACUUUCACUAGAGCAAGGAGCAAAGUCACUAAUUUUAUGUUUUUUUUUUGCCAUAAUAAUGAUCACUUGGAAUUGCACGUUUAUUGUAAAGCACAAAGCUACGAUCGCACGUUUCUUUCGCUCUCGCUCGCUGUUCGGCUGUUUAUUCCAUACGAGGGGAAGAAUUGCGAACCAACGCCUUAUCAGUGCACGGUCACACAACCCUCCGACCGAAGGGUGGGCAACCAAACAUUCUUCCGGAUGGUUCGGUUCUUAUUUACCGAAAAGCUUAGCGUACCUCCCUAAUGGUCCGCUGGUUCGAUCGGUAUAAAAUUCAAGAGAAAAAAAAUAUUAAAAAUCAAAACACACACGUCUGCCAAAAAAGGGUUUGAGGGCCUAGACCUGUUUGCGUGUAGUGUCCACCCGUACCGAUAGCACAACCUUGAACCUGCUUGGCUACAGGGAACGUCUCGAAAGAAUGGCUUCUAAGCCACAACAGGAAAAUAAAAACACUUCUCAUGAGAGAAACAACAAUCA